GACGUAGGGUGCCAGCGUUGUUCGGAAUUACUGGGCGUAAAGGGUUCGUAGGCGGUGCGGCAAGUUGGGAGUGAAAUCUCUGGGCUUAACCCAGAGGCUGCUUCCGAAACUGCUGUGCUUGAGUGUGGGAGAGGCGCGUGGAAUUGCAGGUGUAGCGGUGAAAUGCGUAGAUAUCUGCAGGAACACCCGUGGCGAAAGCGGCGCGCUGGACCACUACUGACGCUGAGGAACGAAAGCUAGGGGAGCAAACAGG
rnacentral:rRNA from 1 species